rnacentral:rRNA from 1 species
CACGUAGGGCGCGAGCGUUGUCCGGAAUUAUUGGGCGUAAAGAGCUCGUAGGCGGCCUGUUGCGUCCGCUGUGAAAGCCCGGGGCUUAACCCCGGGUCGGCAGUGGGUACGGGCAGACUAGAGUGCGGUAGGGGAGAUUGGAAUUCCUGGUGUAGCGGUGGAAUGCGCAGAUAUCAGGAGGAACACCAAUGGCGAAGGCAGAUCUCUGGGCCGUAACUGACGCUGAGGAGCGAAAGCAUGGGGAGCGAACAGG